rnacentral:tRNA from 1 species
GCCGUUGUAGCUCAGUUGGUAGAGCACUUCCUUGGUAAGGAAGAGGUCUCGGGUUCGAGCCCCGACAACGGCUCCA